CACCGUCUCUACACUUUCUUUAGGUUUUUUAUUAUUUAUACUAUAUUCUGUCAAAAAAGGCGAUGUCAUUGGAUUUUUACCUAAACAGUAUACACUUUAUUAAUAUUGUUACGGACUCUGUCCUUCACAUGUAAUACAGGUGUGGUAAACCGACGACGUUCUCAUGCAACAACAGAUGAUACGUGUUCAUGGGCCAAAGAGAGUGUCCGAGUACGGACGACGUGCCACCAGUAUACAACGGCGGCAUCGUCCACCACCACCUAGGCCCCGACCGUGGCGACAACCAUAAAUAAGGAAACCGGAAUCAUCACUGAGGAGGAAUUGAACUCAGUCAGGAGUCAAGAAAGCUACACCACCACCGAAGCACGAGAAGGAGCAGCACCCUCAUCUCGACACCAACCCGUCCAGUCAUUUCUUUAAUGUAUUUAUACUUGAUAACUACAACUAAGUCUUGGCCCGGGGCUGGUAUCACAGGUUUUUCACUUGUAGAUAUAAUUUGUCAACCGUGUAUUGUUUUAAUUCUAAUAAAAAAAC